AAAGUUUCCUUCGGGGGAUGAGUAGAGUGGCGCACGGGUGAGUAACACGUAGGUAAUCUACCUUUGGGUGGGGAAUAACGCAGGGAAACUUGCGCUAAUACCGCAUAAUGCAGCGGCACCACAUGGUGACAGUUGUUAAAGCGGGGGAUUUUCGAACCUCGCGCCUAAAGAGGAGCCUGCGGCAGAUUAGCUAGUUGGUAAGGUAACGGCUUACCAAGGCAACGAUCUGUAGCCGGCCUGAGAGGGCGGUCGGCCACACUGACACUGACAUACGGGUCAGACUCCUACGGGAGGCAGCAGUCGGGAAUUUUGGGCAAUGGGCGAAAGCCUGACCCAGCAACGCCGCGUGAAGGAUGAAAUCCUUCGGGAUGUAAACUUCGCAAGAAUGGGAAGAAUUAGUAGGGGUUAAUACCCCCUAUGAUGACGGUACCAUUUGUAAGCUCCGGCUAACUCCGUGCCAGCAGCCGCGGUAAUACGGGGGGAGCAAGCGUUGUUCGGAUUUACUGGGCGUAAAGGGCGCGUAGGCGGUCAGCACAAGUCAGUUGUGAAAUCUCCGGGCUUAACUCGGAAAGGUCAACUGAUACUGUGCGACUAGAGUGCGGAAGGGGCAACUGGAAUUCUCGGUGUAGCGGUGAAAUGCGUAGAUAUCGAGAGGAACACCUGCGGCGAAGGCGGGUUGCUGGGCCGACACUGACGCUGAUGCGCGAAAGCCAGGGGAGCGAACGGGAUUAGAUACCCCGGUAGUCCUGGCCUUAAACGAUGGAUGCUUGGUGUCUGGAGUUUUAUAGUCUCCGGGUGCCGUAGCUAACGCGUUAAGCAUCCCGCCUGGGGAGUACGGUCGCAAGACUG
rnacentral:rRNA from 1 species